rnacentral:rRNA from 1 species
UACGGAGGGAGCUAGCGUUAUUCGGAAUUACUGGGCGUAAAGCGCACGUAGGCGGCUUUGUAAGUUAGAGGUGAAAGCCUGGAGCUCAACUCCAGAAUUGCCUUUAAGACUGCAUCGCUUGAAUCCAGGAGAGGUGAGUGGAAUUCCGAGUGUAGAGGUGAAAUUCGUAGAUAUUCGCAGGAACACCAGUGGCGAAGGCGGCUCACUGGUCCGAUACUGACGCUG